AUUGAACGCUGGCGGCAUGCCUAACACAUGCAAGUCGAGCGUUCGUCGGACAGGUGAGUAUUGUCUGGGAACAUGCCUGCUGUCGGGGGAUAACUACUGGAAACGGUGACUAAUACUGCAUCCCAUCUGAUUUGCCCCUAUUGGUUUAGGUAGUGGGUGGGGUAACGGCUCACCUAGGCGACGAUCCCUAGCUGGUCUGAGAGGAUGACCAGCCACACUGGAACGGGGACCCGGUCAAGAGUCCUCGGGAAGGAAGCAGUGGGAAAUAUUGAACAAUGGGCGAAAGCCUGAUGCAGCCAGGCCGCGUGUGUGAGGAGGGCUUUCGGGUUGUAAAGCACUUUCAGCGGGGAGGCGUUACCCGCAGAAGAAGCACCGGCUAACUCCGUGCCAGCAGCCGCGGUAAUAC
rnacentral:rRNA from 1 species